CGCGAGAGCCACAAACAAGCCGCUCACAAGGAGAAGCGGCGACUGGCCAUCCGUAAUGCAGCGCAGCAGUGGGAGGACUCCAGGAGCUUUCUCGAGCUUCCAGCACAGAACGGCGCCAAGGAAGAGCUGAGCCCAGAGAACAGCCCCGCCCACAGCCCAGGACAGACCAAUGGGAUCACUCAGGAGCCGUCACCCGAUGACCUCAGGCGAGAUAGAGGGAGUCCUCUCACUGUUCCUGAGCGUCCAGCAGGGGGCAGUGACGGUAAAGCGCGCUCUAGCAGCCGCCCCAACAGCCCCCGAGACCCCAGGUGUGUAUACACACACACACACACACACGCGCGCACAUCUUUCUCCUGUAGAAUAGAUGUAGAGUCUGCUAAACGCAGUAUGAAUCUAAUGCCUGUUAAGUAGAUCACUUCUAGAAGUUUCUGCAUGUCCUCCACUUGCAUUCCCAUCACAGUGACAUCACAUUCCUGUAGUGUUUGAUCUGCUUUCACUCUCUCCUCACACACACAUGGCCCACUUGCUUCUGUGUGUGUUUGUGUGUGUGUGUUUAUUCCAUUAUAAAGAUAAUUCAACGUUCAGACUGUAUUCUGAAAACACUCACACGCACACACACACACGUGUUUAAGAAUUUUUUAAGAAAGCAUGUUUGUCCAUUCAAGGGAGUUUUCUCUGGCUAAUAUCAUAGUCGAACCCAUCCCAGGAACGCAGAAAUACAACCUGGACUCACAAAUCCUUCACAACUAAGGCCAUUUUAGUGUAACCAGUCCACAGUCCUAAAUUCUGGCAUGUUUUUAGGAAGUGUGAAGACUUCAGACACACAUACCUCCACACAAGAGGCCAGGAGUUCAAACCCUGAGGCAAUAACAC
ensembl:lncRNA